GGAACUCCUCCGCCCGCCUCCCCUAGGAAAAUGCCCACCAGCCUCAGGGAGAGAUGGAGAAACUGAGGCUCAUAAAGAUGAAUUCUUUGGCUCUGGGGUUUUAUUGCCACUCAAUGGCAGAAACCAGUUACAGUUUUAACUAGAAACGUUGAUCAUUGCUGGCCCAACUCAUACCCCCUCCUCAGAGAAGCUACCCCACAC